GGGCUUGUAGCUCAGUUGGUUAGAGCACUCGCUUGAUAAGCGAGGGGUCACAGGUUCAAGUCCUGUCAGGCCCACCA
rnacentral:tRNA from 1 species